rnacentral:tRNA from 3 species
CGGUUCGUAGUUUAAUUGGCAAAACAUAG